rnacentral:lncRNA from 1 species
UACGGCUGGAGGGGGAGAAUUGAUGACUUCCAGCCGUACUUCUAGAUGUUCAAACCAUAGCCGCCAUGGGAAGCUUCCUUAUUCACACGGGCGGCCCACAAUGGUUGAACAAGCCAACCAUAGCCGCCAUGAGAAGCUUUCUUAUUCACAGGGGCAGCCUACAAUGGUUGAACAAGCCAACCAUAGCCGCCAUGAGAAGCUUCCUUAUUCACACGGGCAGCCCACAAUGGUUGAACAAGCCAACCAUAGCCGCCAUGAGAAGCUUCCUUAUUCACACGGGAAUUUCCACAAAAA